rnacentral:RNase_P_RNA from 1 species
UGAGUACGAAAGAUGAUCGCAGGUGUUUGAACCAUCUGAGGAAAGUCCGAGCUCCAUAGGGCAGGGUGCUGGAUAACGUCCAGCGAGGGCGACCUUAGGGAUAGUGCCACAGAAAUGUAAACCGCCUGACAUUGUCGGGUAAGGAUGGAACGGUGCGGUAAGAGCGCACCAGCAGUCAGGUGACUGACUGGCUAGGUAAACCCCACCUGGAGCAAGACCAAAUAGGGAAGAGAUGAAGCUGCCCGCUGAAUCUUCCGGGUUGUGUCGCUUGAACCGGCAGGUAACUGCCGGUCUAGAUAAAUGAUCAUUACCGCUUAAUGCGGAACAGAACUCGGCUUACUGACUACUCAGACG